UGGGAGGAUUUCCUUCUCAGGUGAGCAGCA
rnacentral:piRNA from 1 species